rnacentral:rRNA from 1 species
UUUUCAAGCAGCUAUCAAACCCCAGAGCGCACCCGUCCCUGUAGCAAAAGGGUGGGAAGACUUGAAAAUAGAGGCAAAAAGCCAACCGAGCUUGGUGAUAGCUGGCUACUCAACAAAAGAAUUUAAGUUCAACUUUAGGCAUUUAUGAGCCAACCAUUCAAUAAACUCACUUCCCACAAACCUAAAGAAAAUCAAUGGGGGUACAGCCCCAUUGAACCGGGAUACAGCCCGAAUUGAGAGGAACCCCCCCCUUUUUUUUCUUCCUGUAGACUUCAAAGCAGCCACCAAAGAAUCGCGUUAUAGCACACCUACUAAACAAUUCUAACAACUUAACAACCCUCCUAAUUUACAACGAGUUAUUCUAUACUACUAUAGAAGUACCAAUGCUAAAAUUAGUAAUAAGAAACACUUAUUUCUCUCUGCACCCCCUUAAAUCAGACUAGAAAAACUACUGACAAUUAACAAACCAAACAAACACACACUUACCUAGCCAUAAUGUUACUAAAAACUUGUUACCCCAACACAGGUGUGCAAAAAAGAAAGACAAAAACCUGUAAAAGGAACUCGGCAAAACUUAACCCCAACUGUUUACCAAAAACAUAGCCUUUAGCCCCCCAAGUAUUAAAGGUCUCGCCUGCCCAGUGACUCUUUAAACGGCCGCGGUAUCCUAACCGUGCAAAGGUAGCAUAAUCACUUGUCCCUUAAAUAGGGACUGGAAUGAAUGGCUAAAUGAGGGUUAAACUGUCUCUUGCGGACUGUCAAUGAAGUUGAUUUUCCAGUACAAAAGCUGGAAUAAACACAUAAGACGAGAAGACCCUGUGGAGCUUUAAAACCAAGUUCAUUUAAGCUAAUGCUCCUUAGGUUUUUAGUUGGGGCGACUUUGGAGUAUAAAAAACCCUCCAAAACAUGUUAAACCUCUAAUAUUAAGAACAACAAAUCAAAAACCACAAAAGACCCAGCAACAACCCUAAUGUUGUCUGACCAAUGAACCAAGUUACCCCAGGGAUAACAGCGCCAUCCCCUUCUAGAGUCCUUAUCGACAAGGGGGUUUACGACCUCGAUGUUGGAUCAGGACACCCCAAUGGUGCAGCCGCCAUUAAAGGUUCGUUUGUUCAACGAUUAAAGUCCUA